rnacentral:rRNA from 1 species
AGAGUUUGAUUAUGGCUCAGGAUGAACGCUGGCGGCGUGCAUAACACAUUCAAGUCGAACGGUGAAGUCCCUCGGGACGGAGCAGUGGCGGACGGGUGAGUAACGCGUGAGCAACCUGCCAUACAGUGGGGGAUAACACAGGGAAACUUGUGCUAAUACCGCAUGACACAUCGGGACCGCAUGAUCCUGAUGUCAAAGAUUCAUUGCUGUAUGAUGGGCUCGCGUAUGAUUAGACAGUUGGCAGGGUAACGGCCUACCAAAUCAACGAUCAUUAGCCGAACUGAGAGGUUGAACGGCCACAUUGGAACUGAGAAACGGUCCAGACUCCUACGGGAGGCAGCAGUGGGGAAUAUUGGGCAAUGGGCGAAAGCCUGACCCAAGCGACGCCGCGUGAGGGAAGAAGGUCUUCGGAUUGUAAACCUCUUUCAGCAGGGAAGAAGAGAGUGACGGUACCUGCAGAAGAAGUCACGGCUAACUACGUGCCAGCCGCGGC